rnacentral:rRNA from 1 species
AUUGAACGCUGGCGGCAGGCCUAACACAUGCAAGUCGCGCGAGCGGCGGACGGGUGAGUAAUGUAUGGGGACUGCCCGAUAGAGGGGGAUAACUACUGGAAACGGUGGCUAAUACCGCAUACUAUCGGAUACCCCCUAUGGGAUUAGCUAGUAGGUGGGGUAAAGGCUCACCUAGGCGACGAUCUCUAGCUGGUCUGAGAGGAUGAUCAGCCACACUGGGACUGAGACACGGCCCAGACUCCUACGGAGGAAGCAGUGGGGAAGAUUGCACAAUGGGCGCAAGCCUGAUGCAGCCAUGCCGCGUGUAUGAAGAAGGCCUUAGGGUUGUAAAGUACUUUCAGCGGGGAGGCGUUACCCGCAGAAGAAGCACCGGCUAACUCCGUGCCAGCCGCCGCGGUAAUUC